rnacentral:rRNA from 1 species
GAUGAACGCUAGCGGCAGGCCUAACACAUGCAAGUCGAGGGGUAGAGUUAGCUUGCUAACUUGAGACCGGCGCACGGGUGCGUAACGCGUAUGCAAUCUACCUUAUACAGAGGGAUAGCCCAGAGAAAUUUGGAUUAAUACCUCAUAGUAUUAUCGAGUGGCAUCAUUUGAUAAUUAAAGUUCCAACGGUAUAAGAUGAGCAUGCGUCCCAUUAGUUAGUUGGUAAGGUAACGGCUUACCAAGACUAUGAUGGGUAGGGGUCCUGAGAGGGAGAUCCCCCACACUGGUACUGAGACACGGACCAGACUCCUACGGGAGGCAGCAGUGAGGAAUAUUGGACAAUGGGCGCAAGCCUGAUCCAGCCAUGCCGCGUGCAGGAAGACGGUCCUAUGGAUUGUAAACUGCUUUUUAUACAGGAAGAAACAUCUCUACGUGUAGAGACUUGACGGUACUGUAAGAAUAAGGAUCGGCUAACUCCGUGCCAG